rnacentral:rRNA from 1 species
AGAGUUUGAUCCUGGCUCAGGACGAACGCUGGCGGUGUGCUUCACACAUGCAAGUCGAACGGAGUAGCAAUACUCAGUGGCGGACGGGUGAGUAACACGUGGGAAUCUACCAUUAGGUGGGGAAUAACAGGCCGAAAGGACUGCUAAUGCCGCAUAUGUAGGCAUCUCGACAGAGAUGUUUAUGAAAGGAGUAAUCCGCCUUUUGAUGAGCCCGCGUCCGAUUAGCUAGUUGGUAGGGUAAAAGCCUACCAAGGCGACGAUCGGUAGGUGGUCUGAGAGGAUGAUCACCCACAAUGGGACUGAGACACGGCCCAUACUCCUACGGGAGGCAGCAGUGGGGAAUUUUACGCAAUGGGGGAAACCCUGACGUAGCGACACCGCGUGAGCGAAGAAGCCCUUUGGGGUGUAAAGCUCUGUCAACAGGAACGAAACAAAUGACGGUACCUGUGGAGGAAGCAUCGGCUAACUACGUGCCAGCAGCCGCGGUAAGACGUAGGAUGCAAGCGUUGUCCGGAUUUAUUGGGCGUAAAGAGUUCGUAGGUGGUUUGUUAAGUCUGAUGUUAAAGACCGGGGCUCAACCUCGGAAAUGCAUUGGAUACUGGAUGACUUGAGUGCGGUAGAGGCAAGUGGAAUUCCCAGUGUAGCGGUGAAAUGCGUAGA